GGCACUAUUAACCCAGAAGGGGGAGAAGAGGGGUCGUUAAUCUCCCCAAAUGGCUGAGAGACGCUUUUGAUUUUGCCGGCCAACAUAACUGGACAGUGCGUAAGAGUAGCUGAGGUCUCGCGCAGCGAGCGAGAGAGGAGCACCGCUGACAACCGACGGAGCUGCAGUGAUAAAACCAGAGGUCCGGAUUUCCCCCCCUAUGUCCUGCCUGCAGAGCCCCAUUCACCACAGACAUGAGGGGUCAAAUUAAACACAGGGGUCAAUAAACACGGAGAUAUUCUCACCUCUUCCUCCACGAACACCAGUUGCAGACAGUUUUGGCAAUAAGAAGUCCCGCUGUGGCGUCACGUGCCGGAGAAGAGGGAAAAAAGGAGUUUGGGGAGCUGAUGCGAAGCUUUCCGAGGCUCAACAACGAGUAAACUCACUGUUGAUACUCGCUGUCGGUAUAAGAGACACACGGCUGUUGCUGUCAGCGCGCAGACGAACCACCAGCUGCGGAAUGGGAAAUGACGUCAAGCACGACGGAAUAAGGUGCGCAAGAUCCGGUCAGUGCUUUCAAAAUAAAAGCCCCCCGCAUGGACGCGUUGUUUUUGUUUUCGUGAUCAUUGAUCAGUAUUGUCAUCAACUUAAAUAUGAUGAGAUGUGAUAAAUAUGAGUAAACUGAAGAAUGCACUAAUUCAAACGGGAACGUUUUUGAUUUUGGAGAGUGGGUUUGAGUUGGUAAAGCGUUUGUAUGGUAGAACAUCACAAUGAGCAACGUCUUCCCGUGACCCCAAAAUACUGAACUAAAUGGCAUGCUUGUUUUACAUUUUGUAUUGUCUUUUAUUUCCAUCUUCUUCCAGCAUUUGCCGACUUUUCUUUUGUCCAGACAAAGGCCAAAAAUGUUUCUACUGAUCUACGAUUAUCUGUCCUCCCUAUUUUUAGUGUGACGUUCAUAAAGAAAUAUUAAGAUUAACAGUACUUUAUUUUGAAGCAAAUCGGUCUUCCAUCAUAGAUAAUAGUUAGUGAACUUGAUGGCUGUUCAAGGAAAGUGGCUCUAGGAAGUCGGAAUAAACCACACCUUCCUGGUUGAUGUAUUUUCCCAGUCAAUCUAAACCAAAAUACAUUUUUUGUUUAACUCCAGUUUGGCAACAUUAAAUCUACUUUGUUGUUAAAUGUUAAAAUGUCAAAAAAAUAUUUUGAUCUGUUAAAUUUUGUUUCUUUUGGAUGCUCCCACGAGCACUGCAGAUAUUCUUACGUAAGAAACAAGUCAUCUUGGUACAAAUUAGAAACGUAAUCUAGGACUCUUAUGAUGUUUACUUUGGCAUUUACAACCAAAAGUAAAUCUUGCGCAAAGCAACAGGAAGUCGUUGUCUGUCUUUCUCUUUGUAAACUAUGAAUGCAAACUAAAUUUUUCUUCUUGGUCUGUUUGAAUGCACUUAUUCAAAGUCCCUUUGGAUAAAUGACAUAUAAUGUAUUGUAAAUCAAAUACAUCCUAUACAAGUAAUUUCAAUCUUAGAAAAAAUGAUCGCAUUCAGAAACCGGU
ensembl:lncRNA